rnacentral:rRNA from 1 species
CCUACGGGAGGCAGCAGUGGGGAAUAUUGGGCAAUGGGCGCAAGCCUGACCCAGCAACGCCGCGUGAAGGAAGAAGGCUUUCGGGUUGUAAACUUCUUUUCUCAGGGACGAAGCAAGUGACGGUACCUGAGGAAUAAGCCACGGCUAACUACGUGCCAGCAGCCGCGGCAAUACGUAGGUGGCAAGCGUGAUCCGGAUUUACUGGGUGUAAAGGGCGUGUAGGCGGGGACGCAAGUCAGAUGUGAAAACCACGGGCUCAACCUGUGGCCUGCAUUUGAAACUGUGUUUCUUGAGUACUGGAGAGGCAGACGGAAUUCCUGGUGUAGCGGUGAAAUGCGUAGAUAUUAGGAGGAACACCAGUGGCGAAGGCGGGCUGCUGGACAGCAACUGACGCUGAGGCGCGAAGGCGUGGGGAGCAAACAGGAUUAGAUACCCCAGUAGUC